CUUCCUCUCAUAGCUAACUACACCAUCACUCAGACAGCCAACUCAGAGCUCAAGGGAUACCCACCAUUCCCUCCUCCUCCAUCUUACCAAAACUCACUCCUCAUUUUGUGAGUGUCUUGACAAUCCUUCCCUUACCCACAUUUAGAACCCAUGCCCUCCUCUGGAAUCCAUGCCCUCCUCUCUGUCCUGACCAACCUCCUGUAUUUCUUACCUCUGCAAUUUCAGCCAUUUUUGUUGUUGUUGUUGAGUUUCCUUGCUGCUAAUCCCAACCCUUAAGCAUCACUUCUAUGGAGCCUUCUAUGAAUUUUUUCCCACUUUUCUCUCGUCCCUAUCUGGC
rnacentral:lncRNA from 1 species